rnacentral:lncRNA from 1 species
AAACAGCUAGGUCCCCCUGCAACUUGAGUCACACGCUCAGAAGUGUCUGAAGAUGGAGAGCUGAGAUCUCGGCCACUAGGAAGCCCUUUGUGGACUGUCGUCCUGGAAUGGCAGGGUCAGAGCUGAUCGCCUGCUCAUGCCAAGCUUCCUCCCACGGGGCCUUCCGAAGCUUUCCACAGCUUCAACAUCAACGGCACUUUUGUCUGCCCACUUGGGGGAGAGGGCUGGAGGCUCUGUUUUUUGUGUCCUUGGUGGAUCCAGCCCAAGUUUGAAGGACCCAUGGACCUGUUCAGUUUCCCCAGAUGGCCCCGCUCCAAGAACAGCUCAGAAGCCAAGGAAACCGAAAUCCCCGCCUCUGUAGCCAAAAUGGACAGGCUGUUUCCUGAUACCCCGUGUGUGUGUGUGCGUGUGCGCGAGUGUGUGUGUGUGAAGUGAGUCCUGACCUGCAAGUCUGUUUCUGUGAUACUAUGAAACAGCCCAGUGCAUAGUCCACACUGUUUUCCUCCUGCUCUCGUGCAAAUAAAUGAUCCAUCGCUCUGUGGCUGACUCAGUUGUCAAGAAGAAUAAGUGACUGUGAAUAAAAACUUUUGCAAAUGAAUCCAA